rnacentral:lncRNA from 1 species
GAGGCAAAGCAGCACCCAGCACCUCAAGUUCAGUACCCCAGCUCUCACUGCUCUGCUGAGACUGUGAGGUCGUUGUUAUCACUGUACAGUGGUGCAUCAUGCCUGACUCUGUCACUGUAUCUUCAUAAGGUCUGGGGCCAUUGAUGGCAUCAACGUCUUAAUUUCUCCCAUCUUGCAGAGGAAGACACUAUUCCACCUUGACGUGAUAGUGACUGAGGAGCUACAGCGUUCUGAAAGGGAAUUGUAGAAGAGGGCAUUGUCCCAGAAUCAGGGAACAGCCACUGAAACCGGAGUCUUGAAAUUGGUUCUCCAUGGCACAUGUGGAAGUCUUUGACGAGGCCAAGGUGUUUGCAUGGUCAUUGUCAUAUAUUAUGAUAGCUAGAAGUGUCCAGGAGUUAAGGGUUAUUAGAGGGUGUACGUUGCAAAGGUGUGGAGAUGAAGAAUAAAGGUGAAAUUGUUUUUGCU